UACGUAGGGUGCAAGCGUUGUCCGGAAUUAUUGGGCGUAAAGAGCUCGUAGGUGGCGGGUCACGUCGGGUGUGGAAAGCCCGGGGCUUAACCCCGGGUCUGCAUUCGAUACGGGCUUGCUAGGGUCCGGCAGGGGAGACUGGAAUUCCUGGUGUAGCGGUGAAAUGCGCAGAUAAUCAGGAGGAACACCGGUGGCGAAGGCGGGUCUCCGUGGGCUGUAACUGACGCUGGAGGAGCGAAAGCGUGGGUAGCGAACAGG
rnacentral:rRNA from 1 species